AAAACCCAAAAAAAAUAAUUUAAAAAUAUUCAAUUGAUAAAGAAAUAAAAAUUAUUAAAUAAAAACAAAAAAAAACAACAAAUGUAGUUAUUAUUUCGAAACAAAUUCUAAAUAACAACUCACAGUAAGAAUUGCCUAAAAGAAACACUUUCAUAUUCAAACUCCCCUUUAACAGACCGACUUUUUGAAUAUAAUAUUAUAUAUUUUUUUAUUAAAUUAAAUGAUUUUAAUUGUUUCUUUUGUUUUAUCCAAUUAGGAAGGUACAUUAUCAGUCUGGAAUCGCGAUGCCUCUGAUUACUUCAGUACGACACGUAUCCGAGAUACACUACGUAGGAUAUUAAAUAUACCUGUUACCGUGCCAAUGGAGUAUAAGAUACACUGUGAUAGCCUUAAAUAUGUAGCAAUUAAUAAAGGCCCUGCAACAAAAAGCUGAAAUUCAGUGAAUUUGUGUUAAAACAAAAUUAAAAAAAAACUACAAAACAAUAUCAACUGAUAUAUAAAAAAAAGAUAUUUAUCCCAAAAA